AUACGUAUGGUGCAAGCGUUGUUCGGAUUUAUUGGGCGUAAAGGGUCCGCAGGGGGUCGAUUAAGUCUGAUGUGAAAUCUCAUGGCUCAACCAUGAAACUGCAUUGGAAACUGAUAGACUAGAGUACUGGAGAGGCAAGUGGAAUUCCUGGUGGAGCGGUGGAAUGCGUAGAUAUCAGGAGGAACACCGAGAGCGAAGGCAGCUUGCUGGACAGUUACUGACCCUCAGGGACGAAAGCAUGGGUAGCAAACAGGAUUAGAAACCCUAGUAGUCC
rnacentral:rRNA from 1 species